rnacentral:rRNA from 1 species
CUACGUGCCAGCAGCCGCGGUAAUACGUAGGGGGCAAGCGUUAUCCGGAUUUACUGGGUGUAAAGGGAGCGUAGACGGCAUAGCAAGUCUGGAGUGAAAGCCCGGGGCUCAACCCCGGGACUGCUUUGGAAACUGUUUAUCUAGAGUGCUGGAGAGGUAAGUGGAAUUCCUAGUGUAGCGGUGAAAUGCGUAGAUAUUAGGAGGAACACCAGUGGCGAAGGCGGCUUACUGGACAGUAACUGACGUUGAGGCUCGAAAGCGUGGGGAGCA